rnacentral:rRNA from 1 species
AACGCGAAGAACCUUACCCAGAUUUGACAUACAGAGGACAGUACUAGAAACAGUAUCUCCCUUCGGGGCCUCUGAACAGGUGCUGCAUGGCUGUCGUCAGCUCGUGCCGUGAGGUGUUGGGUUAAGUCCCGCAACGAGCGCAACCCUUAUCAUUAGUUGCUAACAAGUUAAGUUGAGCACUUUAAUGAGACUGCCCGGGUUAACCGGGAGGAAGGUGAGGAUGACGUCAAGUCCGCAUGGCCUUUAUAUCUGGGGCUACACACGUACUACAAUGGUCGGUACAGAAGGCAGCGAAGCCGCGAGGCGGAGCAAAUCCCGAAAGCCGAUCUCAGUUCAGAUUGUAGUCUGCAACUCGACUACAUGAGGAUGGAAUUGCUAGUAAUGGCAGGUCAGCACACUGCCGUGAAUACGUUCCCGGGUCUUGUACACACCG